AGUGAACGCUGGCGGUAGGCCUAACACAUGCAAGUCGAACGGCAGCACAGUAAGUGCUUGCUCUUACGGGUUGCGAGUGGCGGACGGGUGAGGAAUAUAUCGGAAUCUACUUUUUCGUGGAGGAUAACGUAGGGAAACUUACGCUAAUAUCGCAUACGACGUACGGGUGAAAGCAGGGGAUCUUCGGACCUUGCGCGAUUGAAUGAGCCGAUGUCGGAUUAGCUUGUUGGCGGGGUAAAGGCCCACCAAGGCGACGAUCCGUAGCUGGACUGAGAGGAUGAUCAGCCACACUGGAAGUGAGACACGGUCCAGACUCCUACGGGAGGCAGCAGUGGGGAAUAGUGGACAAUGGGCGCAAGCCUGAUCCAGCCAUACCGAGUGGGUGAAGAAGGCCUUCGGGUUGUAAAGCCCUUUUGUUGGGAAAGAAAAGCAGCAGGUUAAUACCCCGCUGUUCUGACGGUACCCAAAGAAUAAGCACCGGCUAACUUCGUG
rnacentral:rRNA from 1 species